rnacentral:lncRNA from 1 species
CUGAUAGGAGCAUAUUUAUGCGCCUUAGUUAGCUAGUUCUUAUGCAUUUUUGUUAUGUUUUCUUUGUUAAAGUAGUCUUUUAAGCUACUUUCUUGUGUUUUCAGGUUUAGCGGACGUAUUACAUGAAAUGAUGCAAUUUGGAGCUUUUGGAGCAAAAAGUGAGUUUGAAUUGAAAAGGACAUGCUUGGAACGCAAGGUUGGGAUGGAAUUGAAGAGUUGAAGAUUUGAGGUUUC